rnacentral:rRNA from 1 species
GAUGAACGCUAGCGGCAGGCUUAAUACAUGCAAGUCGAGGGACAGCACAGGUAGCAAUACUGGGUGGUAACCGGCAAACGGGUGCGGAACACGUGCACAACCUUCCUUUAAGUGGGGGAUAGCCCAGAGAAAUUUGGAUUAAUACCCCGUAAUAUAGUUGAAUGGCAUCAUUUGAUCAUUAUAGCUACGGCGCUUAAUGAUGGGUGUGCGGCUGAUUAGAUAGUUGGCGGGGUAACGGCCCACCAAGUCUACGAUCAGUAGCUGAUGUGAGAGCAUGAUCAGCCACACGGGCACUGAGACACGGGCCCGACUCCUACGGGAGGCAGCAGUAAGGAAUAUUGGUCAAUGGACGCGAGUCUGAACCAGCCAUGCCGCGUGAAGGAUUAAGGUCCUCUGGAUUGUAAACUUCUUUUAUUUGGGACGAAAAAGGGCCUUUCUAGGUCAACUGACGGUACCAGAUGAAUAAGCACCGGCUAACUCCGUGCCAGCCGCCGCAGUAAUAC